UUAAAAGUAUUUCGCUGAAAUGUUUCUUUAUGUUGUCCAUCGGGUUUAAUAGACGUCCCAUUUAAUAAGCUCUCUACUUGUAAGGAUAGACUAUUUGACCUCUAUGCCCUGCUACCGCUAGACAUAGUAUAAGAUUGCUUUGUGAAAUAAAGCUGUCGGUAGCAUCAACAAAAUAAAAAACGAUCGUAUUCCAAUACUCUCCGCUGAGUACUAUGACAGCGCUGAAAUAUGGAAUAAAAUUGAAAGAAGAUUAGUUUUGGGUCCUAAGUCAUGUUUUGACAAGAAAUAAGAGAGGGGAACAUAUCUUUGAACUUUUAGUUUUAAAGUUUUUAAUGAAAAUAUUUAUCAUUGUGUAAGCUCCCUUCUUUCUUUAUCGCAUCUAGGCUGUAUGAUCUUAAAACAAUCCAUCCUCUGAUUGUGAGGGACAUAAAUACCGCUCUGUCUUUAUACUAAAUAUCAUAAAGGAGACACGCACAGGGCACGACGGCCUGACACUUGUAAGUUAAGAAGUGUCAUGCUAAUAAAAAGCUUAUUGCCGAGGCUGGGAAAUCGGUCAUUAAUAAGCUACAUAUUUCAGCGUAUGUAAAGCAUGCAGAUGCUGCGGGCAAGCAGGCUGCUUCUGCUGUAUUUCUGAACUCAGCUCCUGGAAUGGCUUGAAUCUGAAGAGGGAGAAUAAAUAUGUCACGGGGGAGAAGGCCUUGCUUGGCGAUUGCUUCCGGCCUGGAGGAAUGUCAGAAUUGCCAGACAUGCAGAUUGGGAAAUGCCUUUCACUUCUUUGGUUACAUAUUAAUCAGAUGAGCUCACGAGGGGGAGUGGCGUGGAUGGUUGGCAGAGUGCUGGCGGAGCGGAGCGGGUAACACUGCCCUGCCCCCUACCCCCGGGCAGCUGCAAACUGGGCCACCAGAUUCGGGGCUGUGGCUUUCUUGAAGAUUCUGGAUGUCAACCCCUUGCUCAAGGGAAGAAAGCGCUCUAUUUGUAUUCAUAGAUUACAUGAAUGAGUACCAUUUGGAAGCUCGUGUCCUCACUCUGGUAACGCUUUCCAUCGCUAUGCACCAACAUUUUAAGUUCAAGCGUAUCGUGUUCGGGAUGGGACGAAUGUGCCGGGUGCCCUGGACCAGUUGCUGCUCCUUAUGGAGUCUGUCACUCACACCAUAAAGGAGGAAGCCAGGAGAGCCAUUCUGGGGAGUUCUAAGAUGCUCAGAGGACUGAGUAGGCCUCUCUUCCCAGACAUGGGGGAAAAUAACUUCAUUUUGGGAUGUAGGAGAGAAAGUCUCCAAGUUUGGAGAUCACUGGAGAACAAUCAAAACAUCUUAGCAGCUGGGGUACAACGCUUGCUUGGCACUUAAGGAAGACCUUAAGCGCUAGAGAAGACACUGCCAGAGGCAGACGAUGGCUCUGUGUAGCCUUCACUGUGUAGAGCUCACCUGUUUCUGAUGGGGACACAACCCAGAAUCCCUAGGAGCCCUUCCCAUUCAAUUACCCCAGAAAUGCAACUCGAUGGGACAAGGUUAAAGAGUUUUAUUUUUCUUCUUUUCUUUCAGUAGUUGACCACCAGAUUUGAACCAAAAAAAAAAAAAUCAUUUAGUGUGAAAGAAUAAAAGAAAAAAAAAUUCCAAGAAUAAUCUUGCAUUUAAA
rnacentral:sRNA from 1 species